rnacentral:rRNA from 1 species
GACGAACGCUGGCGGCGUGCUUAACACAUGCAAGUCGAGCGGUAAGGCCCUUUCGGGGGUACACGAGUGGCGAACGGGUGAGUAACACGUGGGUGACCUGCCCUUAGCUCUGGGAUAAGCCUGGGAAACUGGGUCUAAUACCGGAUAUGACUCCAUGACGCAUGUUGUGGGGUGGAAAGCCUUGUGCGGCUAGGGAUGGGCCUGCGGCCUAUCAGCUUGUUGGUGGGGUGAUGGCCUACCAAGGCGACGACGGGUAGCCGGCCUGAGAGGGCGACCGGCCACACUGGGGACUGAGACACGGCCCAGACUCCUACGGGAGGCAGCAGUGGGGAAUCUUGCGCAAUGGGCGAAAGCCUGACGCAGCGACGCCGCGUGGGGAUGACGGCCU